AAAUAAGAAGCAAUAUUUGCAUUUAAUUUCGACUUAAAAGAAUGAGAUUUUCUAUCUCCUUAUUUAAUUA
rnacentral:tRNA from 1 species